UUUCUUAAAUUCUACAAAGUUCAUUCCCUUCCAAUACAGAGAAGAUUAGCAUAGCUCCUGCGCAAAGAUGACACUCAAAUUCGUGAAACUUUCCAUAUUUAA